UAAGGAGGUUCAUCUCUCACCGUCUCCACCAUCAUUACAUAAUUAGAUUUAAGGAGGUUCAUCUCUCACCGUCUCCACCAUCAUUACAUAAUUAGCUUUAAGGAAGAACAUCUCACACCAUUUCCACCAUCAUCACAUAAUUAUAUUUAAGGAGGUUCAUCUCUCACCGUCUCCACCAUCAUUACAUAAUUAGAUUUAAGGAGGUUCAUCUCUCCCCGUCUCCACCAUCAUUACAUAAUUAUAUUUAAGGAGGUUCAUCUCUCACCGUCUCCACCAUCAUUACAUAAUUAGAUUUAAGGAGGUUCAUCUCUCACCGUCUCCACCAUCAUUACAUAAUUAGCUUUAAGGAAGAACAUCUCACACCAUUUCCACCAUCAUCACAUAAUUAUAUUUAAGGAGGUUCAUCUCUCACCGUCUCCACCAUCAUUACAUAAUUAGAUUUAAGGAGGUUCAUCUCUCACCGUCUCCACCAUCAUUACAUAAUUAGAUUUAAGGAGGUUCAUCUCUCCCCGUCUCCACCAUCAUUACAUAAUUAGCUUUAAGGAAGAACAUCUCACACCAUUUCC